CAAAUGAAGAGUUUGAUCCUGGCUCAGGAUGAACGCUGGCGGCGUGCCUAAUACAUGCAAGUCGAACGCUGGAGAUCUAGCUUGCUAGAUCGAAGGAGUGGCGAACGGGUGAGUAAUACAUAAGCAACCUACCCACGAAGACUGGGAUAAUCUCUGGAAACGGGGACUAAUACCGGAUAGGUAAUCGGAAGGCAUCUUCUGGUUAUUAAAGGUUAAAAACACUGGUGGAUGGGCUUAUGGCGCAUUAGUUAGUUGGUGAGGUAACGGCCCACCAAGACGAUGAUGCGUAGCCGGCCUGAGAGGGUGAACGGCCACAUUGGGACUGAGACACGGCCCAGACUCCUACGGGAGGCAGCAGUAGGGAAUUUUCGGCAAUGGGGGCAACCCUGACCGAGCAACGCCGCGUGAGUGAAGACGGCCUUCGGGUUGUAAAGCUCUGUUGUAAGGGAAGAACGGUAGAUAGAGAAUAUCUAAGUGACGGUACCUUACCAGAAAGCCACGGCUAACUACGUGCCAGCAGCCGCGGUAAUACGUAGGUGGCGAGCGUUAUCCGGAAUUAUUGGGCGUAAAGGGUGCGUAGGCGGCCUGUUAAGUAAGUGGUUAAAUUGUUGGGCUCAACCCAAUCCAGCCACUUAAACUGGCAGGCUAGAGUAUUGGAGAGGCAAGUGGAAUUCCAUGUGUAGCGGUAAAAUGCGUAGAUAUAUGGAGGAACACCAGUGGCGAAGGCGGCUUGCUAGCCAAAGACUGACGCUCAUGCACGAAAGCGUGGGGAGCAAAUAGGAUUAGAUACCCUAGUAGUCCACGCCGUAAACGAUGAAUACUAAGUAUUGGGGAAACUCAGUGCUGCAGCUAACGCAAUAAGUAUUCCGCCUGUGGAGUAUGCACGCAAGUGUGAAACAUAAAGGAAUUGACGGGGGCCCGCACAAGCGGUGGAGUAUGUGGUUUAAUUCGACGCAACGCGAAGAACCUUACCAGGCCUUGACAUCCCUUGCAAAGCUGUAGAGAUACAGUAGAGGUUAUCAAGGAGACAGGUGGUGCAUGGUUGUCGUCAGCUCGUGUCGUGAGAUGUUGGGUUAAGUCCCGCAACGAGCGCAACCCUUGCCUUCAGUUACCAGCAUUCAGUUGGGGACUCUGGAGGGACUGCCGGUGAUAAACCGGAGGAAGGUGGGGAUGACGUCAAAUCAUCAUGCCCCUUAUGGCCUGGGCUACACACGUACUACAAUGGCUGUUACAACGUGCAGCGACCUAGCGAUAGGAAGCGAAUCACUAAAAGACAGUCUCAGUUCGGAUUGAAGUCUGCAACUCGACUUCAUGAAGCUGGAAUCGCUAGUAAUCGCGGAUCAGAAUGCCGCGGUGAAUACGUUCUCGGGCCUUGUACACACCGCCCGUCAUACCAUGAGAGCUGGUAAUACCCGAAGCCGGUGGCCUAACCGCAAGGAAGGAGCCGUCGAAGGUAGGACUAGUGAUUGGGGUCAAGUCGUAACAAGGUAUCCCUACGAGAACGUGGGGAUGGAUCACCUCCUUUCUAAGGA
rnacentral:rRNA from 1 species